GUGCUCACUUUAGCAGCACAUACACUAAAAUUGGAAUGAUAUGGAGAUUAGCAUGGCCCCUGCGUAAGGACAUGCAGAUUCGUGAAGCGUGCCAUAUUUUU
rnacentral:snRNA from 1 species